GUGCUUGCUUUGGCAGCACAUAUACUAAAAUUGGAACGAUACAGAGAAGAUUAGCAUGGCCCCUGUGCAAGGAUGACAUGCAAAUUCAUAAAGCAUUCCAUAUUUUU
ensembl:snRNA U6 U6 spliceosomal RNA